CCUACGGGGGGCAGCAGUGAGGAAUAUUGGUCAAUGGACGAGAGUCUGAACCAGCCAAGUAGCGUGAAGGAUGACUGCCUUAUGGGUUGUAAACUUCUUUUAUAUGGGAAUAAAAUGUUCCACGUGUGGGAUUUUGUAUGUACCAUAUGAAUAAGGAUCGGCUAACUCCGUGCCAGCAGCCGCGGUAAUACGGAGGAUCCGAGCGUUAUCCGGAUUUAUUGGGUUUAAAGGGAGCGUAGGUGGAUUGUUAAGUCAGUUGUGAAAGUUUGCGGCUCAACCGUAAAAUUGCAGUUGAAACUGGCAGUCUUGAGUACAGUAGAGGUGGGCGGAAGUCGUGGUGUAGCGGUGAAAUGCUUAGAUAUCACGAAGAACUCCGAUUGCGAAGGCAGUUCACUGGACUGCAACUGACACUGAGGCUCGAAAGUGUGGGUAUCAAACAGGAUUAGAUACCCCGGUAGUC
rnacentral:rRNA from 1 species